UACCUACAGAAGAAGUCCCGCAAACUCCGUGCCAGCAGCCGCGGUAAUACGAAGGGGGCAAGCGUUGUUCGGAAUUAUUGGGCGUAAAGCGCAUGUAGGCGGUUCUGGUAAGUUAAAGGUGAAAUGCCAGGGCUUAACCCUGGAGCUGCUUUUAAUACUGCCAGGCUAGAGUCCGGUAGGAGGAUAGCGGAAUUCCUAGUGUAGGGGUGAAAUUCGUAGAUAUUAGGAGGAACACCAGNGGCGAAGAGCGGCUAUCUGGUCCGGUACUGACGCUGAUGUGCGAAAGCGUGGGGAGCAAACAGGAUUAGAUACCCUGGUAGUCCACGCUGUAAACGAUGAGUGCU
rnacentral:rRNA from 1 species